rnacentral:rRNA from 1 species
AGAGUUUGAUCCUGGCUCAGGAUGAACGCCGGCGGUGUGCCUAAUACAUGCAAGUCGUACGCACUGGCCCAACUGAUUGAUGGUGCUUGCACCUGAUUGACGAUGGAUCACCAGUGGGUGGCGGACGGGUGAGUAACACGUAGGUAACCUGCCCCGGAGCGGGGGAUAACAUUUGGAAACAGAUGCUAAUACCGCAUAACAACAAAAGCCACAUGGCUUUUGUUUGAAAGAUGGCCUUGGCUAUCACUCUGGGAUGGACCUGCGGUGCAUUAGCUAGUUGGUAAGGUAACGGCUUACCAAGGCGAUGAUGCAUAGCCGAGUUGAGAGACUGAUCGGCCACAAUGGAACUGAGACACGGUCCAUACUCCUACGGGAGGCAGCAGUAGGGAAUCUUCCACAAUGGGCGCAAGCCUGAUGGAGCAACACCGCGUGAGUGAAGAAGGGUUUCGGCUCGUAAAGCUCUGUUGUUGGAGAAGAACGUGCGUGAGAGUAACUGUUCACGCAGUGACGGUAUCCAACCAGAAAGUCACGGCUAACUACGUGCCAGCAGCCGCGGUAAUACGUAGGUGGCAAGCGUUAUCCGGAUUUAUUGGGCGUAAAGCGAGCGCAGGCGGUUGCUUAGGUCUGAUGUGAAAGCCUUCGGCUUAACCGAAGAAGUGCAUCGGAAACCGGGCGACUUGAGUGCAGAAGAGGACAGUGGAACUCCAUGUGUAGCGGUGGAAUGCGUAGAUAUAUGGAAGAACACCAGUGGCGAAGGCGGCUGUCUGGUCUGCAACUGACGCUGAGGCUCGAAAGCAUGGGUAGCGAACAGGAUUAGAUACCCUGGUAGUCCAUGCCGUAAACGAUGAGUGCUAGGUGUUGGAGGGUUUCCGCCCUUCAGUGCCGGAGCUAACGCAUUAAGCACUCCGCCUGGGGAGUACGACCGCAAGGUUGAAACUCAAAGGAAUUGACGGGGGCCCGCACAAGCGGUGGAGCAUGUGGUUUAAUUCGAAGCUACGCGAAGAACCUUACCAGGUCUUGACAUCUUGCGCUAACCUUAGAGAUAAGGCGUUCCCUUCGGGGACGCAAUGACAGGUGGUGCAUGGUCGUCGUCAGCUCGUGUCGUGAGAUGUUGGGUUAAGUCCCGCAACGAGCGCAACCCUUGUUACUAGUUGCCAGCAUUAAGUUGGGCACUCUAGUGAGACUGCCGGUGACAAACCGGAGGAAGGUGGGGACGACGUCAGAUCAUCAUGCCCCUUAUGACCUGGGCUACACACGUGCUACAAUGGACGGUACAACGAGUCGCAAGCUCGCGAGAGUAAGCUAAUCUCUUAAAGCCGUUCUCAGUUCGGACUGUAGGCUGCAACUCGCCUACACGAAGUCGGAAUCGCUAGUAAUCGCGGAUCAGCAUGCCGCGGUGAAUACGUUCCCGGGCCUUGUACUCACCGCCCGUCA